UACGUAGGGUGCGGGCGUUAAUCGGAAUUACUGGGCGUAAAGCGUGCGCAGGCGGCCUCUUAAGUCAGAUGUGAAAUCCCCGGGCUUAACCUGGGAACUGCGUUUGAAACUGGGAGGCUAGAGUGUGGAAGAGGGGGGUGGAAUUCCAGGUGUAGCAGUGAAAUGCGUAGAGAUCUGGAGGAACACCGAUGGCGAAGGCAGCCCCCUGGGCUGACACUGACGCUUAUGCACGAAAGCGUGGGGAGCAAACAGG
rnacentral:rRNA from 1 species